GAUUACAGGUGUGAGCCACCGCGCCUAGCCCAUACUCCUCAAAUUUUAUACAUUAAAUAUGUAUAUCAAUUAUACCUCAAUGAAGCUGUAUUUUUAAAAAAAGAAAAUAAUAAUGUCUUUUGAAGUCCAAUUAUUCUCAUUGAUUGAAUGUAUGAAAAGGUAUAGAAGAAAAUUAUUUGAUUAUUUUAUUCUUUCAAAAGUCUUGUACCUACCAUGUAUAAAGUGACCUCAGUUCUCACUUCUGCAACUCAUAUACUAACAUUGAAAUAAUACAGAGAAGAUGAGCAUGGCUCCUGCACAAGGAUAAAGUGGCCUCAGAACACAAAAAGAGAUGCACACUCUAAGUUAUGAAAAAUAAUGUGUUUAGCGUAUUUUGUUCUUGUUACCCCUUAUAAAUUCUUAAAAUGUAUUUGGAACGGUUAUUUAAAAAUAGCUUAUGCAAUAUCCUACUGACCAAUAAAUUUGAACUACGAGCACAUGCAGGAAUUGCUUAUUUUCAACAUAAAGCUAUAAUGAAGGACAUUACGAUGUAAAUGUAAAGUGUUUGGCAGGAAACUGAACAUUUUAUUAAAACUGAAGAAAAGUCUCCUAACCUAGAUAAAUACAUGGUAAAUACUUAAUAAUUUAUUUUUCUGAAUCCCUGGGAAUAAGUAUCAGACAUAAAAUAGAGGCUUUGUGGUGAGGAUCACAAUUUACAACCAUCCACAGCUCUCUUUUCAAUAGUUUAUGCUCUCAAAUAAACAUAUAAACAUUUUACUUAGUUACACAUAAAAAAGGAAAAAGUCCCUUAUGAAGAGAAAAUAAGUGAGCAGUAAUAUAGUUCAUG
rnacentral:lncRNA from 1 species